rnacentral:rRNA from 1 species
AUUGAACGCUGGCGGAAUGCUUUACACAUGCAAGUCGAACGGCAGCACGGACUUCGGUCUGGUGGCGAGUGGCGAACGGGUGAGUAAUAUAUCGGAACGUGCCCAGUCGUGGGGGAUAACGUAGCGAAAGCUACGCUAAUACCGCAUACGAUCUACGGAUGAAAGCGGGGGAUCGCAAGACCUCGCGCGAUUGGAGCGGCCGAUAUCAGAUUAGGUAGUUGGUGAGGUAAAGGCUCACCAAGCCGACGAUCUGUAGCUGGUCUGAGAGGACGGCCAGCCACACUGGGACUGAGACACGGCCCAGACUCCUACGGGAGGCAGCAGUGGGGAAUUUUGGACAAUGGACGCAAGUCUGAUCCAGCCAUUCCGCGUGCAGGACGAAGGCCUUCGGGUUGUAAACUGCUUUUGUACAGAACGAAAAGGUCUCUAUUAAUACUAGGGGCUCAUGACGGUACUGUAAGAAUAAGCACCGGCUAACUACGUGCCAGCAGCCGCUGUAA